UAAGUACCGAUAGCCUUCAAC
rnacentral:piRNA from 1 species